rnacentral:rRNA from 1 species
UACGAAGGAUGCAAGCGUUAUCCGGAAUUAUUGGGUUUAAAGGGUGCGUAGGCGGACUGAUAAGUCAGUGGUGAAAGCCUGCAGCUUAACUGCAGAAUUGCCGUUGAUACUGUCAGUCUUGAGUACAGUUGAGGUAGGCGGAAUGUGUCAUGUAGCGGUGAAAUGCUUAGAUAUGACACAGAACACCGAUUGCGAAGGCAGCUUGCUAAGCUGUAACUGACGCUGAGGCACGAAAGCGUGGGGAGCAAACAGG